CAGACAGAUAGGGGCAGGAGCCCAAGCAGGUGUGUGUUAUAGUGAGCUCUUUUAACCUUGCCGUCCAUGUGAAGCUUAAGUAUUAACCAGUUCAGUGGACCCUCUGCCUUUUUGCAAGGAUGGAGGGCCAGAGUGACAGCUUUCUGUAUUCUGAGCUCUUGUCCAGCAUCCCAGAAAAAUUGGGUCACAGACGGAUUUGAAGGAUGUGGCCAGUUUCACAAAGAGGCUGCAGGAAGCUGCUUCCAGCAGUCUGAGUCCUGAGGAGGAGACGAUAACAGUGGGAGAAGCACCUGGUAACAGCGGCACUUCAUCCAGGAAGAAAACAGGAUCUAAAAUAUAAACAACAUCCUUACAACACAAAAUAUGAGCGUCCAUCAUGGACCAACCAAUAACUUCAAUAAAAGUGCUGUAUCCCCUGGCAGAUGAUGAGUAUCUUCAAGAUGUUUGUGUAGAUCAGGAAUCUGGGAAUGGCUUGACUGGAUCCUCCAGCCCAGGGAUUCAUACAAGGCUGCAAUCAAGGUAUCAGCCAAGGCUGCGGUCAUCUCAAGGCGUAACUGGGGCAAGAUCUGCUUUCAAGCUUACUCACAAUGCUGUUUGCAGAAUUCAGUUCCUGCUGGGCUAUUGGACUAAGAGCUACAGUUUCUUAGUACUUAGCCUCUCCAGAGGGCAGCUCACAAUAGAGUAGCUGACUUUAUCAAAGUGAGAAAGUGAGAAAGAGCAAGAGAGUGCCAGCAGGAUAGAAGUCACAGCCUUUUAUAACCUACUUUCAGAAGUAAUAGCCCAUCACUUUUGUUACUUAGAAGGAAGUCAUUAGGUCUAGGCCACCCAUGGUGAGGGGUUACACAAGAACAUACCUACCAGAAGGCAAGGAUCACUGGGGGCUAUUUUAGAAGUAGUCUACUCCAAAGUGGUUCACCAGAAACGAGUUGCUCUUUCUCAACAAAGAAUUAGAGGUAAAGUUGUUGAGAGAGAGUUUAACAUGACAUAAAAGAAGAAUUGGUUAUGAAUCAUGGCAUUCGGAUCUAUAAGGAAGUAGAAUGAUUUAUCAUCCUCAGAUUGACCUUUUUGAUUCACUUUCUUCAAUGGGCUUUCUGGAAAGAAGUUACCUGGCACCUUACCUGACUCUCUCUCAAUUGAAGUGUUGGUUAAGGUAGAAUGGCCUCACCAAUCUUUCAGUGUCUCAUCCUUAUUUGAACAUUCGAUCGUACAGUAGAUUUGCAGUCUUAUAGUGUGUCAAUGACAGCACCACUUUUUCCAAAUCUUAUCCAGUGAUUCAGUAAUAAAGGCAUUUCUUGUGAUUCUGGAGCCUCAGCUAAGCUUUGAAACACACGUUCUGUGGCAGGGCAAGUUUUUUCAUGGUCUUCAGUGGCCAAAGAACAACAGUGAUUGUGAUAAGUUCCUAGAUGGAAUGAUAAUCUGUUGCAGGUAUUCAAUAAAGAAGAAUCCAAACAUAUUAGUUUUUAAGUUUUUGUUUAAAUUUAAUUAAUGAAUUAAUAAAUUAAUUAGUUUUCCAGAUGGCAUCUCACUCUAUUGCCCAGUCUGGAGUGCAGUGGUGCAGUUAUAGCUCACUGUAGCCUCAAACUCCUGGGCUCAAGCAUUUCUCCCACCUCAGCCUCCCAAGAAGCUGGGAGUACAGGGUUCACCACCCUGCCUGGCUAAUUUUUUAAAAUUUCUUUUUAGAGAUGGGGUCUCACUUUGUUGGCCAUGCUGGUAUUGAACUCCUGGCUUCAAGCAGUUCUCCCUCCUCAGACUCCCAAAGUACUAGGAUCACAGAUGUGAGCCACCACACCCAGCACCUAGCCUCUUAGUGGGGAGAGGGAACACCUUUUUUUUUCAAUCCUCUGGAAACCAGAAACUUGUUACUGUGGAUUUUAAAGGAAUUUCAAAGGUCUUCUACAUUUUUGUGGGAGACAAACUCAACCAAAACGCUUUCUCCUCAUGAGGGUACUAAGACAACUCAAGGGUAAAAUAAUAGUUUUUUUUUGUCCUGGCGCAGUGGCUCACGCCUGUAAUCCCAGCACUUUGGGAGGCCGAGGUGGGCGGAUCACGAGGUCAGGAAGUCGAGACCAUCCUGGCUAACACGGUGAAACCCUCUCUCUACUAAAAAAAAAAGUACAAAAAAUUAGCCGGGCGCGGUGGUGGGCGCCUGUAGUCCCAACUACUCGGGAGGCUGAGGCAGGGGAAUGGCGUUAACCCGGGAGGCGGAGCUUGCAAUGAGCCGAGAUUGUGCCACUGCACUCCAGCCUGGGCGACAGAGCGAGACUCCAUCUCAGAAAGAAACAAACAAACAAACAAAAAUAAUAGUUUUUUUUUAAUAGUGCUGGACAAGUGUUACCUACAUGUAAAAGAAUAUAGUUAGAUCCCUAUCUUAUAUACAAAAAUUAACCAAAAAUAGAUAAAAAUCUAAAUGUAAGAGCUAAAACUAUACAACUCUUAGUAGAAAACAGAAGAGUACAUCUUUGUGAUAGUGGAUUAGGCUGUAGUUUAUUAGACAUAACCAAAAACAACAAAAGGAAGAAUAGAUAAAUUUGACUUCAUCAAAAUUAAAAACUUCUGUGUUACAAAGGAUACCAUCAGUGAAAAGGCAACCCCACAGAUGGGGAGAAGAGAUUUGCAAGUCAUGUAUAUGAUAAGGGAUUUGUAUCCAAAGCAUAUAAAGAACGCUUACAACUCAGGAAAAAAAUAAAAAUGAAAAGGCACAGAACCCAAUUUGAAUUCAGGCAAAGGAUUAGAACAGACAUUUCUCUAAAGAUGACAUACAAAUGGUCAAUACACACAUACAAGGAUUCUCAACAUCUGUUAGUCAUCAGAGAAAUGAAAAUGAGAACCACAAUGAGUUAACACUUCACACCUGCUAGGAUGGGAAUAAUAAAAAUGACAGAUAAUAAGAAGCGUCAGUGAGUUAAUGGAGAAAUUGGAGGCUCAGACUUUGAUGGUGGGAAUGUAAAAUGGCACAGCUGCUUUGACAAACAGUUUGGGAUUUUGUCAAAAAGUUAAACAUGGGCUGGGCGCCAUGGCUCACACCUGUGAUCCCAGCACUUUAGGAGGGAAAGGCAGGCAGAUCACUUGAGGUUAGCAGCCUGACCAGCAUGGUAAAACCCCAUCUCUACUAAAAAUACAAAAAAUUAGCUGGGCAUGGUUGUGCAUGCCUGUAAUCCCAGCUACUCGGGAGGCUGAGGCAUGAGAAUUGUUUGACUCCAGGAGGCAGAGGUUGAAGUGAGCCAUGAUCGCGCCACUGCACUCCAGCCUGGGUGAUGGAGUAAGACUCCGUCUCAAAAAAAAAAAAAAA
rnacentral:lncRNA from 1 species